rnacentral:tRNA from 1 species
GCUUGUAGCUGAUUGGAUAGCACUCGUCUGUUAAACGAGAGUAUGCGGGUUCGAAUCCCGCCUGGC